GCAAUUGGGAAUUUUUGGCAAAUGGGGGAAACCUGAAUCCGGACAUCCGGGUUGGUGAAGGAAGCCUUUGGGGUGUAAAAGCUUUUUCAGUGGAAAGAAUAAGGUGGGGGUUAAUACCAUUCAGCGUUGACGGUACCGUCAGAAGAAGCCCCGGCUAACUAUGUGCCAGCAGCCGCGGUAAUACGGAGGGGGCGAGCGUUGUUCGGAAUUAUUGGGCGUAAAGCGCGCGUAGGCGGUUUGUUAAGUCAGAUGUGAAAUCCCCGGGCUUAACCUGGGAAGUGCAUUUGAUACUGGCAGACUAGAGUACGGGAGAGGGGAGUGGAAUUCCGAGUGUAGCGGUGAAAUUCGUAGAUAUUUGGAGGAACACCGGUGGCGAAGGCGGCUCCCUGGACCGAUACUGACGCUGAGGCGCGAAAGCGUGGGGAGCAAACAGGAUUAGAUACCCUGGUAGUCCACGCCGUAAACGAUGUCAACUAGGUGUUGGGGUAGGGAACCUCACAGUGCCGC
rnacentral:rRNA from 1 species